GCUGCUGGAAGAGGUAUAGAAUCUAUAUCCAAGGAAAGUAACGUAACCUUGCCUAUCUUUGUACCCAAUUUCUUUUGGGUGCAGUGAUAAGUCUUUGUUUCAGAAGAACAAGUCGUUUGUGCACUUUUUGCUAGAUCCAAUUGGUCUUGGUGGUACGUCAACAGAGGCAUCCUUUGCUGCUAGAUAUGGUUGUUUGGUCACAGUUGAGAAAGUCGAAAAAUUAGAUA